AAUUUUAAUCCCACAAUGCAAACAGCUAUAUCAAUUGUAAAUCUAUCCUCGGCCCUCAUUUUUUGAAAGAGUAUUCACUGUGGAUAUAUUGCCUAUAAAUAUAUACACAAGCACUUAAUUUUCGUCGAGUUUUCAACUUAGCAUCUUUGUCGAACAAGGCCGCAAUUGACCGAGAAAAUGAAAUCAUUCCGCUCCAGCAAAGUCCUCGUAUUCCUCAUACUUGUUUUGUCUGUCGUGUCAGCGGUUCCACACAGAAGUCUUUAUAAUGACUUUGAAGAAAUUCGUUACAACAAAAAGCAAGCAUUCGCAAGAAGUGGAAUUAUCUUUAAAGGGACAAAGAGAUGCUCUAAGUUCGGAAGCUUUUGCGGUUUGUCUCUCCCGCCUUGUUGUACUGGUUUGUUUUGCGUAAGGAUGCUUUGCGCGAUUUGAGGAGAUGAAAAACUUCAUUAUAUCAUCCUUUUCAACCAGCAGAUUGAUCAAAAUAUGGUGGAUUAAUUAUAUCAUCGCAUUGAUAAAUGAAUGAUCUUAUUGGCUAAUGAUCUGAUUGGUUAAUGAUCAUUUUGAUUGAUGAUCUUAUUGGUUAAUGAUCUUAUUGGUGGAUGAUCUUACUGGCUGAUGAUCUUAGUAGUUGAUGAUCUUAUUGGUAGAUGAUCUUAUUGUUUAAUAAUCUUAUGGGUUGAUGAUCUAAUUGGUUGAUAAUUUCCAUCCACUCAACUAUAACAUUUCUCAUUAUAGUAUGAUUUUAUUUUUUAGUUAAUUCGAUAAACAGGGAUUUUGCCCUACUUACUUUUUGCUAGAUUAAGCAAAAGUCUCUUCGAGAUUGAUUAAAAGUUUUAUUUAGUUCUUUA